rnacentral:rRNA from 1 species
GAUCCUGGCUCAGAUUGAACGCUGGCGGCAUGCCUUACACAUGCAAGUCGAACGGCAGCACGGGGCAACCUGGUGGCGAGUGGCGAACGGGUGAGUAAUGCAUCGGAACGUGCCAUUGAGUGGGGGAUAACGUAGCGAAAGUUACGCUAAUACCGCAUACGAUCUACGGAUGAAAGCGGGGGAUCGCAAGACCUCGCGCGAAUGGAGCGGCCGAUGUCAGAUUAGGUAGUUGGUGGGGUAAAGGCUCACCAAGCCAACGAUCUGUAGCUGGUCUGAGAGGACGACCAGCCACACUGGAACUGAGACACGGUCCAGACUCCUACGGGAGGCAGCAGUGGGGAAUUUUGGACAAUGGGCGCAAGCCUGAUCCAGCCAUUCCGCGUGCAGGAUGAAGGCCUUCGGGUUGUAAACUGCUUUUGUACAGAACGAAAAAGCUCUUUCUAAUACAGAGAGUCCAUGACGGUACUGUAAGAAUAAGCACCGGCUAACUACGUG